rnacentral:rRNA from 1 species
UACGAAGGGGGCUAGCGUUGUUCGGAAUUACUGGGCGUAAAGCGCACGUAGGCGGAUUGUUAAGUCGGGGGUGAAAUCCUGAGGCUCAACCUCAGAACUGCCUUCGAUACUGGCAAUCUCGAGUCCGGAAGAGGUUGGUGGAACAGCUAGUGUAGAGGUGAAAUUCGUAGAUAUUAGCUAGAACACCAGUGGCGAAGGCGGCCAACUGGUCCGGUACGUGACGCUGAGUGCGAAGC